CAGCAGCCGCGGGAAUACGGAGGGAGCUAGCGUUGUUCGGAAUUACUGGGCGUAAAGCGCGCGUAGGCGGUUACUCAAGUCAGAGGUGAAAGCCCGGGGCUCAACCCCGGAACUGCCUUUGAAACUAGGUGACUAGAAUCUUGGAGAGGUCAGUGGAAUUUCGAGUGUAGAGGUGAAAUUCGUAGAUAUUCGGAAGAACACCAGUGGCGAAGGCGACUGACUGGACAAGUAUUGACGCUGAGGUGCGAAAGCGUGGGGAGCAAACAGGAUUAGAUACCCCCGUAGUCCCUGUCUCUUAUAC
rnacentral:rRNA from 1 species